AAUAUCAGGGGAGCGCACAUGCUCCUACCAACAAGGGAGAGGAGAAAUCCUAUAUGCACUUGCAUUAGGAGGUAAUAUUCAAAAUGUGCAAUAACCACAUUAAUUUAUAACAUAAAGCCUAGCUGCAUCCUGGAGUUAACCUGGGAAUGGUUACAAAUUUUAGUGAGAUAAGGGAGGGUUGCAGGAAAAGACUGGGGUGAUAGAGAUAUUCUGAUUUGAAACACUAUUAACCAACCAGCUCUAAAUUAUUGUAAUAUCAUAACAAUGGGAACAGACAUAAAGCGAAAACCAGCUGAGUGUCCAACCCCAGUCAUGCUCAGUGUGGCUCUCAUGGAGAUAAUAGAACAUUAGCAUGGGUGGAAUUGAGCUUGGAUAGUGCUACUCCUUCUGUGGCUUAUGUGUGGUAUGUGAGAUUCCAGAAUUCCUUCCAAAUAUCAGCGAGGGGAUGGAAAAUCCUCGUACAAACCUACAGCCAAGUUAAGAAGGCAGCCAAAAAGGCAAUUUUCAACAUUUGAGGCAAGAAGCUAGAGCUGUGAAAUACUACAGAGGUUCCCUCCUGAAUAGUUUAGCCACUGAUGGGACCAGGAAAUCUUCAAUCCAGGUAGCAGGAGAGUCCAGCUACAGCAAGGCAAGGCCAGAGAGGAGCAAGAAGGCCUGUUUCACGCCGACACCAACAAUGGACUGCCGGUUGAAAUGCUGGUGACAAAUAUGAUGUCUUUUCUCCUGUCUCUUUGAUGGUUUAUGAUACACUGAGAGCAGCACAGGAAUGGAAUGCCUUAAUUUUAUUGGUGAAAUAGCAGCAUCUUCUAUCCUACUCCAGAAUCUCCAACACUUAUCAAAGAGUCUGGCAUAUAAAAGCUGCUCAAUAAACACUUUGAUAUGACUGGAACUGGCAUAUCAGGGAGGCAAGUAGCUGAUGCUAUAGGCUGAUACCCUUGGUGGUUUUAGCACAUAGCAAUGAGAUAUCAACUCAAGAGAAAAAAACUCAAUUUAAGAAAUCCAUGUUGGUGCAGUGAUCAAGUAUUUCCACCUCCUAUGGUUGCUGUGGCUGAUGUGCAUGAAGUACUCCAUAACGGGAACAGCCAAACAUCAUGGAAAAAAGAUGAGAAGGGAAGAUGAUGCAAUUUUUAUCUUAAUGCUUUCAGUGGUUUUCUAAAGUCCUAAAAUGUACAUGUAUAAUUUUUUAAAAUGGGAAAUAAACGUUACAUAGGCGAGAAAGGGUGAGCCAGACA